rnacentral:rRNA from 1 species
CACGUAGGGUGCGAGCGUUGUCCGGAAUUAUUGGGCGUAAAGAGCUCGUAGGCGGUGUGUCGCGUCGGCCGUGAAAACCUGCAGCUUAACUGUGGGCUUGCGGUCGAUACGGGCAUCACUGGAGUUCGGCAGGGGAGACUGGAAUUCCCGGUGUAGCGGUGAAAUGUGUAGAGAUCGGGAGGAACACCGGUGGCGAAGGCGGGUCUCUGGGCAAUUCCUGACGCUGAGGCGCGAAAGCCAGGGGAGCAAACGGG